UGAGUACGAGAUGCUACGGCAUCGAAGCAGUCUAUGUCAUACUUCCAAGAAAAGCUUGCAAUGUCAUAAACAAAUAAUGCCUGUACCAUAACCGACACAGGUGGGUAGGUAGAGUAUACUAAGGGGCGCGAGAUAACUCUCUCUAAGGAACUCGGCAAAAUGACUCCGUAACUUCGGGAGAAGGAGUGCCUUAUUUUUAUAAGGUUGCAAUAACAAGAUCCAAGCAACUGUUUACCAAAAACACAGGUCUCCGCUAAGUCGUAAGACGAUGUAUGGGGGCUGGCGCCUGCCCAGUGCCAGAAGGUUAAAGAAGUUGGUUAGCAUUAGCGAAGCUGAUAACUGAAGCCCUGGUGAACGGCGGCCGUAACAAUAACGGUCCUAAGGUAGCGAAAUUCCUUGUCGGGUAAGUUCCGACCCGCACGAAAGGCGUAAUGAUUUGGAUACUGUCUCGGAGAGGGGCUCGGUGAAAUAGACUUGUCUGUGAAGAUGCGGACUACCUGCACCUGGACAGAAAGACCCUAUGAAGCUUUACUGUAACUUGAGAUUGAAAUUGGACUUUAUCUGCGCAGUAUAGGUGGGAGACGUUGAAAAUAUUCUUGCGGGAAUAUUGGAGUCAUCAGUGAGAUACCACUCUUAUAAUGUUAGAUUUCUAACUUUGUAUCAUUAUCUGGUCAAAGAACAGUUUCAGGCGGGCAGUUUGACUGGGGCGGUCGCCUCCCAAACGGUAACGGAGGCGCACAAAGGUUUCCUCUGAACGUGUAGAAAUCGUAUCUAGAGUGUAAAGGCAUAAGGAAGCUUGACUGUGAGACCUACAAGUCGAGCAGGGACGAAAGUCGGUCUUAGUGAUCUGACGGUGCUGAGUGGAAAGGCCGUCACUCAACGGAUAAAAGUUACUCUAGGAUAACAGGCUGAUCUCCCCCAAGAGUUCACAUCGACGGGGAGGUUUGGCACCUCGAUGUCGGCUCAUCGCAUCCUGGGGCGGUAGUACGUCCCAAGGGUUGGGCUGUUCGCCCAUGAAAGCGGUACGCGAGCUGGGUUCAGAACGUCGUGAGACAGUUCGGUCCAUAUCCGGUGUAGGCGUUAGAAUAUUGAGAGGAGCCUUCUUUAGUACGAGAGGACCGAGAAGGACAUACCUCUGGUGUACCAGUUAUCGUGCCAACGGUAAACGCUGGGUAGCCAUGUAUGGAGAGGAUAACCGCUGAAAGCAUCUAAGUGGGAAGCCCACCUCAAGAUAAGUAUUCUC
rnacentral:rRNA from 1 species